CUGCUAGUGAUGACAUGACUACUGCUCUGAGUUCUAGAAACUAACAUGAUGGAGAGUACUGACAACAGAGUGAAGCCA